UACAGAGGUCUCAAGCGUUGUUCGGAUUCAUUGGUCGUAAAGGGCGCGUAGGCUGCGGGGCAAGUCGGGUGUGAAAUCUCAGAGCUCAACUCUGAAACUGCACUCGAUACUGCUUUGCUUGAGGACUGGAGAGGAGAUUGGAAUUCACGGUGUAGCAGUGAAAUGCGUAGAUAUCGUGAGGAAGACCAGUGGCGAAGGCGGAUCUCUGGACAGUUCCUGACGCUGAGGCGCGAAGGCCAGGGGAGCAAACGGG
rnacentral:rRNA from 1 species